UCUCCGUAGGUGAACCUGCGGAGGGAUCAUUACAGAGUUCAUGCCCUACCGGGUAGAUCUCCCACCCUAGGCUAUCAUUACUUUGUUGCUUUGGCGGGCCGUUAGGCUCCGGCCCGACUACCGGCCCCGGCUGGUAGGCGCCCGCCAGAGGACCCAAAACCCUGAAUAUUAGUGUCGUCUGAGUACUAUAUAAUAGUUAAAACUUUCAACAGCGGAUCUCUUGGUUCUG
rnacentral:misc_RNA from 1 species